GUGGGCGUAGCGUAGCGGUUAACGCGCCAGGUUGUGGCCCUGGAGAUCGUGGGUUCAAAUCCCAUCGCUCACCCCA
rnacentral:tRNA from 1 species